rnacentral:rRNA from 1 species
GGUGAGUAACGCGUAAGAAACUUGCCUUUUGGACUGGGACAACUGUUGGAAACGACAGCUAAUACCGGAUAUUAUGAAAUUUCCGCAUGGAGAAUUUAUGAAAGCUAUAUGCGCCAAAAGAGAGUCUUGCGUUCCAUUAGCUAGUUGGUGGGGUAAUGGCCCACCAAGGCGACGAUGGAUAGCCGGCCUGAGAGGGUGAACGGCCACAAGGGGACUGAGACACGGCCCUUACUCCUACGGGAGGCAGCAGUGGGGAAUAUUGGACAAUGGGCCACAAGCCUGAUCCAGCAAUUCUGUGUGCACGAUGACGGUCUUAGGAUUGUAAAGUGCUUUCAGUUGGGAAGAAGAAAGUGACGGUACCAACAGAAGAAGCGACGGCUAAAUACGUGCCAGCAGCCGCGGUAAUACGUAUGUCGCAAGCGUUAUCCGGAUUUAUUGGGCGUAAAGCGCGUCUAGGCGGGAAAGCAAGUCUGAUGUGAAAAUGCGGGGCUCAACUCCGUAUUGCGUUGGAAACUACUUUUCUAGAGUAUCAGAGAGGUGGGCGGAACUACAAGUGUAGAGGUGAAAUUCGUAGAUAUUUGUAGGAAUGCCGAUGGAGAAGUCAGCUCACUGGAUGAAUACUGACGCUAAAGCGCGAAAGCGUGGGGAGCAAGCAGGAUUAGAUACCCUGGUAGUCCACGCCGUAAACGAUGAUCACUAGGUGUUGGGGGUCGAACCUCAGCGCCCAAGCUAACGCGAUAAGUGAUCCGCCUGGGGGAGUACGUACGCAAGUAUGAAACUCAAAGGAAUUGACGGGGACCCGCACAAGCGGUGG